ACUGGUGAGUAACACGUAUCCAACCUGCCGUCUACUCUUGGCCAGCCUUCUGAAAGGAAGAUUAAUCCAGGAUGGCAUCAUGAGUUCACAUGUCCGCAUGAUUAAAGGUAUUUUCCGGUAGACGAUGGGGAUGCGUUCCAUUAGAUAGUAGGCGGGGUAACGGCCCACCUAGUCAACGAUGGAUAGGGGUUCUGAGAGGAAGGUCCCCCACAUUGGAACUGAGACACGGUCCAA
rnacentral:rRNA from 1 species